AUUCACAUGAAUGAUAUAAAUUAGUAAUGAACUUAAGAUAAACGUGUGUCUGUAGAAUUGGGGCCUUACCUGUUAAACUGAUUUCUUCUACAUGGUAGCUUAGACCUGGUCUAAACUGGAAAGAUUUUAUACUUAAAAUUAAUACAAACCAAAACUAUAUCCUCACAAGUUCUUUUAGUUUGUGUUCUCAAACUACAAUUUAUUUGCCUUGAAGUGACAUACCUCUGUUUCAGAAUAAGCUGCACCACUAUAAGAUUGAUGUGAACAGAUGCCAAUUCCAGGUUCAUAAUACUGCUUCAGUAGCUUUUCCACAUACACAUUACUUUAGUAUCCUCCAGACCAGCUGUCUUCCUCCUAUUUAGAUGUUGGGAUAUACCAAUAGCAUCUGUUUGCUGCAGAUCCAGGUUUUGUAAAAUUAGACUUCUAAAACUGACCGCAGCCUCCAUCCCCUGCGUUUCCAACAAAGAUUCUGGACCCUCUCUCUGUGAAGAGAUAAGUGAUCGUAUUUAGAUUAUGAUCCCAGUAGCUAAGAGAUCACUGACACCACCCAGCACUAGAUAGUUGAACAAAUCUCCAGGAAAAAGUAACUCAAGGAUGUGUAUCAAAAUCAAGAAACCUGAUGCAGAUUUAUUAAGAACACCAAAUACAAAAGCCUUCAGAAAAACAUUCCUAGGACAUAUGUGCUGCGUGGAGAUGAACUGAAUUUGGCAGAGGGGCUCUCUUGGAAUAGUGAGCAUUGUGCCCAAACUAAAGCAGAAACACAACUGGAAGCUACACAGGCACGUGUGGACUCUGACUAGAAGAGAAAUUCCCUGGACAGCCAAGACUAUUUUAUGAAAGAUCAAAUAUGAUGCCUCCCAGGAAAAUAGAUUGACAGUCCUGCAGAGCAAACCUCAUUUGCAUCUUGCAUGGCACAGCCCACAGAGGAAGGGAUGUUAAUAAUCGUUUGGUAAACCUGAGGAAAGAGAAGGCAAACAUCCUUCUUCAUCUUUAGCCUUGUGAAGGGAUUCCAGCUGCAGGCAAAGUGCCCAAAGAAAGGAAGAGUUUGUGUUGCAAGACAAGCUCAAGAGCAAAGGCGUGUGUGACAUGCUGAGAAAUUGUCAAGGGAUCAAAUGGAGAAGUUGGAAAGAGAAAGGGACAUAAAGGAAAAGACCAUUGGACAUAAUGCAAAAGCUGCUAAACAUGCUGGAGAACUUUGUUUCACUUUGCUCAUGUGUAACAUCCUAAAGCAAUCCAGUCCUGUAGCCUUUCAUUCUUCCAACUGUAAGCCGUAGGCAGUCCCUCCAGACAUUCUACUGUAGGAUAAGGGCGCACAUAUGGUCCCACUUGCACAUUUCUGAACCCCUUAUAAAGAUGUGUCCAGCCUCCACAUUAGGUCUUCUGUCCCAUUUUAGUUCUUUCAGUUUGCACUAUCCUGUUAUGCCAAAGCAGUCAUUUUAGUUAUAAUCUGCACUUAAAUGGAAAGAAUUAUUAAAAGUGUAGGUCUCCCUAAUAAUAGCCAUUUGCAAUAAAAUUGAAGUAUGCAAACUG